ensembl:snoRNA
CCUGCCCCUAGAAGCAUUGCAGGUGUGACUGAUGUGUGUCUUCUGAGGCAAUAGGUAGCAGAAAGAAGCUUUGUCUAAGCUUAGUGUUCUGACCUAUGACUAUCUGAAUGUUUAGUCGCUUAACAUU